UACGGGGGGGGCAAGCGUUGUUCGGAAUUACUGGGCGUAAAGGGUUCGUAGGUGGCCAACUAAGUCAGACGUGAAAUCCCUCAGCUUAACUGGGGAACUGCGUCUGAGACUGGAUGGCUUGAGUGCAGGAGAGGAACGCGGAAUUCCAGGUGUAACGGUGAAAUGCGUAGAUAUCUGGAGGAACACCGGUGGCGAAGGCGGCGUUCUGGACUGCAACUGACACUGAGGAACGAAAGCCAGGGGAGCAAACGGG
rnacentral:rRNA from 1 species